rnacentral:rRNA from 1 species
AAUGAACGCUGGCGGCAGGCCUAACACAUGCAAGUCGAACGCCCCGCAAGGGGAGUGGCGCACGGGUGAGUAACGCGUGGGAAUAUGCCCUUCGGUUCGGAAUAACACAGGGAAACUUGUGCUAAUACCGGAUGCGAUCUACAGAUGAAAGAUUCAUCGCCGAAGGAGUAGCCCGCGUAGGAUUAGCUAGUUGGUGAGGUAAUGGCUCACCAAGGCGACGAUCCUUAGCUGGUCUGAGAGGAUGAUCAGCCACACUGGGACUGAGACACGGCCCAGACUCCUACGGGAGGCAGCAGUGGGGAAUAUUGGACAAUGGGCGAAAGCCUGAUCCAGCCAUGCCGCGUGAGUGAUGAAGGCCUUAGGGUUGUAAAGCUCUUUCGCCAGGGAAGAUAAUGACGGUACCUGGAAAAGAAGCCUCGGCUAACUCCGUGCCAGCAGCCGCGGUAAUAC